AUUGAACGCUGGCGGCAGGCCUAACACAUGCAAGUCGAACGGAAGCACGGUGCUUGCUUCUGGUUUCCGCGGCGGACGGGUGAGUGAUGCCUAGGAAUCUCCCUGGCUGUGGUUUGUGACGUCCUCACACGGGCGCGAAUACUGCAUUAGUCCAGAGGGAGCAGGGGGGUGAGCUUUGGACCUUCCGCUCUCAGAUGAUUCUAGGUCGGACUAGCUAGUUGGUGGGGUAAAGGGCUACCUAGGCGACGAUCCGCAGAUGGUCUGAGAGGAUGAUCAGCCGCACUGGAACUGAGACACGGUCCAGACUACUACGGGACGCAGCAGUGGGGAAUAUUGGACAAUGGGCGAAAGCCUGAUCCAGCCAUGCCGCGUGUGUGAAGAAGGCCUUCGGUUUGUAAAGCCCUUUUAGUGGGGAAGAAGAGCAGUAGGUUAAUACCUAGCUGUUUUGACGGUACCAACAGAAUAAGCACCGGCUAACUUCGUG
rnacentral:rRNA from 1 species